GGGAAGGUGGCUCAGUGGUAGAGUGCUUGCCUUGCAUGCAUGAGGCCCUAGGUUCAAUUCCUCCGCACCA
rnacentral:tRNA from 1 species